AUGUGAAGUCGUACCUGCCCAGUGAAGUUUUAACGGCCGCGGUACUCUGACCGUGCAAAGGUAGCAUAAUAAUUUGCCUUAUAAUUGAAGGCUGGAAUGAAUGGUUUGUCAAGGAUAAAACUGUCUCUAUAAAAUUCUAUAGAAUUUUAUUUUUAGGUGAAAAAGCCUAAAUUUUAUUAAAAGACAAGAAGACCCUAUCGAGCUUUAAAGAAUUUAAUAAAUACUUAUAACUAAUUAGAAAUUUAAUUAUAAAAUAUUUUGGUUGGGGCAACCUAGGAGUAAAUAAAACCUCCUUUUUUAAAAAAACUAUUAUGUUAGGAUCCAAAAAUUUUGAUCAAAAGAAAUAGUUACCGUAGGGAUAACAGCAUUAUUUUUUUUGAGAGUUCCCAUCGAAAAAAAAGUUUAUGACCUCGAUGUUGGACCAGAAUAUCCUGAAGAUGUAGAAGUCUUCAAGGGUUGGUCUGUUCGACCAUUAAAAUUCUA
rnacentral:rRNA from 1 species